AUUGAACGCUGGCGGCAGGCCUAACACAUGCCAGUCGAGCGGAUGAAGGGAGCUUGCUCCUGGAUUCAGCGGCGGACGGGUGAGUAAUGCCUAGGAAUCUGCCUGGUAGUGGGGGAUAACGUCCGGAAACGGGCGCUAAUACCGCAUACGUCCUGAGGGAGAAAGUGGGGGAUCUUCGGACCUCACGCUAUCAGAUGAGCCUAGGUCGGAUUAGCUAGUUGGUGGGGUAAAGGCCUACCAAGGCGACGAUCCGUAACUGGUCUGAGAGGAUGAUCAGUCACACUGGAACUGAGACACGGUCCAGACUCCUACGGGAGGCAGCAGUGGGGAAUAUUGGACAAUGGGCGAAAGCCUGAUCCAGCCAUGCCGCGUGUGUGAAGAAGGUCUUCGGAUUGUAAAGCACUUUAAGUUGGGAGGAAGGGCAGUAAGUUAAUACCUUGCUGUUUUGACGUUACCAACAGAAUAAGCACCGGCUAACUCCGUG
rnacentral:rRNA from 1 species